rnacentral:rRNA from 1 species
UACGAAGGGGGCUAGCGUUGUUCGGAUUUAUUGGGCGUAAAGCGCACGUAGGCGGAUCGUUAAGUCGGGGGUGAAAUCCUGGAGCUCAACUCCAGAACUGCCUUCGAUACUGGCGAUCUUGAGUCCGGAAGAGGUGAGUGGAACUCCUAGUGUAGAGGUGGAAUUCGUAGAUAUUAGGAAGAACACCAGUGGCGAAGGCGGCUCACUGGUCCGGUACUGACGCUGAGGUGCGAAAGCGUGGGGAGCAAACAGG